rnacentral:rRNA from 1 species
UACGUAGGGUGCAAGCGUUGUCCGGAAUUAUUGGGCGUAAAGAGCUCGUAGGCGGUUCGUCGCGUCGGCUGUGAAAACCCGAGGCUCAACCUCGGGCCUGCAGUCGAUACGGGCGGACUGGAGUUCGGCAGGGGAGACUGGAAUUCCUGGUGUAGCGGUGAAAUGCGCAGAUAUCAGGAGGAACACCGAUGGCGAAGGCAGGUCUCUGGGCCACUACUGACGCUGAGAAGCGAAAGCAUGGGGAGCGAACAGG